GCAUUGCUGAAGAGUCCCAUACCAGGAUGAAACGGUUGUCCAAUGC
rfam:Schistosoma margrebowiei strain Zambia genome assembly, scaffold: SMRZ_contig0008028